rnacentral:rRNA from 1 species
UCAUCUUCGGGGGUAGAGCACUGUUUCGGCUAGGGGGUCAUCCCGACUUACCAACCCGAUGCAAACUGCGAAUACCGAAGAAUGUUAUCACGGGAGACACACGGCGGGUGCUAACGUCCGUCGUGAAGAGGGAAACAACCCAGACCGCCAGCUAAGGUCCCAAAGUCAUGGUUAAGUGGGAAACGAUGUGGGAAGGCACAGACAGCCAGGAUGUUGGCUUAGAAGCAGCCAUCAUUUAAAGAAAGCGUAAUAGCUCACUGGUCGAGUCGGCCUGCGCGGAAGAUGUAACGGGGCUAAACCAUGCACCGAAGCUGCGGCAGCGACACUAUGUGUUGUUGGGUAGGGGAGCGUUCUGUAAGCCGUUGAAGGUGUAUCGUGAGGUAUGCUGGAGGUAUCAGAAGUGCGAAUGCUGACAUAAGUAACGAUAAUGCGGGUGAAAAACCCGCACGCCGGAAGACCAAGGGUUCCUGUCCAACGUUAAUCGGGGCAGGGUGAGUCGACCCCUAAGGCGAGGCCGAAAGGCGUAGUCGAUGGGAAACAGGUUAAUAUUCCUGUACUUGGUGUUACUGCGAAGGGGGGACGGAGAAGGCUAUGUUAGCCGGGCGACGGUUGUCCCGGUUUAAGCAUGUAGGCGGAGGUUCCAGGUAAAUCCGGUACCUUUUUAACGCUGAGGUGUGAUGACGAGGCACUACGGUGCUGAAGUAACAAAUGCCCUGCUUCCAGGAAAAGCCUCUAAGCAUCAGGUAACACGAAAUCGUACCCCAAACCGACACAGGUGGUCAGGUAGAGAAUACCAAGGCGCUUGAGAGAACUCGGGUGAAGGAACUAGGCAAAAUGGUGCCGUAACUUCGGGAGAAGGCACGCUGAUAUGUAGGUGAAGUGAUUUACUCAUGGAGCUGAAAUCAGUCGAAGAUACCAGCUGGCUGCAACUGUUUAUUAAAAACACAGCACUGUGCAAACACGAAAGUGGACGUAUACGGUGUGACGCCUGCCCGGUGCCGGAAGGUUAAUUGAUGGGGUUAUCCGUAAGGAGAAGCUCUUGAUCGAAGCCCCGGUAAACGGCGGCCGUAACUAUAACGGUCCUAAGGUAGCGAAAUUCCUUGUCGGGUAAGUUCCGACCUGCACGAAUGGCGUAAUGAUGGCCAGGCUGUCUCCACCCGAGACUCAGUGAAAUUGAACUCGCUGUGAAGAUGCAGUGUACCCGCGGCAAGACGGAAAGACCCCGUGAACCUUUACUAUAGCUUGACACUGAACACUGGUCCUUGAUGUGUAGGAUAGGUGGGAGGCUUUGAAGUGUGGACGCCAGUCUGCAUGGAGCCAUCCUUGAAAUACCACCCUUUAAUGGCUGGUGUUCUAACGUGGACCCGUGAUCCGGGUUGCGGACAGUGUCUGGUGGGUAGUUUGACUGGGGCGGUCUCCUCCUAAAGAGUAACGGAGGAGCACGAAGGUUAGCUAAUCCUGGUCGGACAUCAGGAGGUUAGUGCAAAGGCAUAAGCUAGCUUGACUGCGAGAGUGACGGCUCGAGCAGGUGCGAAAGCAGGUCUUAGUGAUCCGGUGGUUCUGAAUGGAAGGGCCAUCGCUCAACGGAUAAAAGGUACUCCGGGGAUAACAGGCUGAUACCGCCCAAGAGUUCAUAUCGACGGCGGUGUUUGGCACCUCGAUGUCGGCUCAUCACAUCCUGGGGCUGAAGUAGGUCCCAAGGGUAUGGCUGUUCGCCAUUUAAAGUGGUACGCGAGCUGGGUUUAGAACGUCGUGAGACAGUUCGGUCCCUAUCUGCCGUGGGCGCUGGAGAAUUGAGGGGGGCUGCUCCUAGUACGAGAGGACCGGAGUGGACGCAUCACUGGUGUUCGGGUUGUCAUGCCAAUGGCAUUGCCCGGUAGCUAAAUGCGGAAGAGAUAAGUGCUGAAAGCAUCUAAGCACGAAACUUGCCCCGAGAUGAGUUCUCCCUGAGACUUUAAGUCUCCUGAAGGAACGUUGAAGACGACGACGUUGAUAGGUCGGGUGUGUAAGUGUAGCGAUACAUUGAGCUAACCGAUACUAAUGAACCGUGAGGCUUAACCUU